AGUGAACGCUGGCGGCAGGCCUAACACAUGCAAGUCGAACGGCAGCACAGUGGAGCUUGCUCCAUGGGUGGCGAGUGGCGGACGGGUGAGGAAUACAUCGGAAUCUGCCCAGUCGUGGGGGAUAACAUAGGGAAACUUAUGCUAAUACCGCAUACGACCUACGGGUGAAAGCGGGGGAUCGCAAGACCUCGCGCGAUUGGAUGAGCCGAUGUCCGAUUAGCUAGUUGGCGGGGUAAUGGCCCACCAAGGCGACGAUCGGUAGCUGGUCUGAGGGCAUGAUCCGCCACACUGGAACUGAGACACGGUCCAGACUCCCACGGGAGGCAGCAGUGGGGAAUAUUGGACAAUGGGCGCAAGCCUUAUCCAGCCAUGCCGCGUGGGUGAAGAAGGCCUUCGGGUUGUAAAGCCCUUUUGUUGGGAAAGAAAUCCAGCUGGCUAAUACCCGGUUGGGAUGACGGUACCCAAAGAAUAAGCACCGGCUAACUUCGUGCCAGCAGCCGCAGUAA
rnacentral:rRNA from 1 species